UACGGAGGGUGCAAGCGUUAAUCGGAAUUACUGGGCGUAGAGCGUGCGCAGGCGGUUUGUUAAGUCCGUUGUGAAAGCCCCGAGCUCAACUUGGGAAUUGCAGUGGAUACUGGCAGGCUGGAGUACGGUAGAGGAAGGUGGAAUUCCCGGUGUAGCAGUGAAAUGCGUAGAUAUCGGGAGGAACACCAGUGGCGAAGGCGGCCUUCUGGACCAGUACUGACGCUCAUGCACGAAAGCGUGGGGAGCAAACAGG
rnacentral:rRNA from 1 species